UGAUAGUUUUAUUUCCUUCUUUCCUUUUGUUUGCUUGCUCCGUUCCCCACACCCCCAACCCCGGGUUCAGGUGGCUGAGUCAAAACCUCUUGUUAUUCAAACAGAUGUCAUGCAGAGGGAGCUAGAGAGCUGCCUAAGGAGAGAGUACACUUCUGAAAAUUUACCUUUGCUUCUGUUGCAGUAUUAUACAGAGAGAAUUACCCAGCUGGCCCAGAGUAAAUAUUUACACAUGCUUAGGUGGAAGAGAUUUUGCCAUCACAGUAAGAUCACGGAGCAACUUUAUCCGUUUUAUAAGAAACAAGUUGCCUACAUUAUGCAGGAGUACAAUGUUGCCCUUCAGAGAGCUGAUAGAUUGUUGCAGGAGAAAACUUCCUUAUGGGAAAAAACAAUCCUCCUAACUUAGUGGCACAGGAAGACCUGACUGUUUACACAAAUUAGUUAUUGUGUCACCUACCCUCACUCAAGACUAUUCACCACUACCUGCAGGCCCUCCAGUAUUUGCCCAUCUCCAAAGUGCUGAGUGUAGCUGUUGAUGAAGUCCCCAAGGUUGGUCAGGAAAAUGAAAAGGUCCCUGUCAAUGACAUUGACCCUAACAUCCAGGGUUCUGUAUCUCCAGGCUCUAUGAAUACCAGCGUUUCAGAUGACUUAGAAACCUGAUCAGGUUUUCACUCUGCGUGAUGAAUUUACCAGGUGCACCUGGAGAGGCAGCCAACCCAGCUGUGGGGAAUCAGAGAAAGCAUAUCCAGGGGCAAGUCCAACCUGGGUGCUUAGAGAUGAGUAGGAGUGAGCCAGGCGAAAGGAGGUGAAGGUUCUCAGCUUCUCCUAAUUUGUUUGUUAACUUAUAAAUCAUAUUCUUUGUUUACCCCAAAGGACUAUAGGUAGUUCUGUUCCCACUAAGUCAUUCCCCAAAAGAUAUGUUGGGUUUCUUCUGCAGUCUGUGAGAAGGGAGGGUCCUGGCUACCUCCCCCAGAAAGCCAGCACCAAGAAUUUGUCAGAUAGGCCUGGCUGAGUGUGGGACAGUCUACAGAUUGUGGAAGAGAAGGUUGGGCAUGGAGCAGAAUGGUCUUCCCCAUCAGCAGAAGAAGCCCUGACUCCAGUUAUCUCAAAGGACUCUCCUUUUUCUCUCCCUGACUGGUGUUCAUUGGUGUUAGUGCUCUUGAUUUUGGAUUUUUUUUCAGGGCCAACAAGAACAGAAGCUGCUUUCUUUCUGCCCCAACACACAACAGAAACAGAAGAACUGAAACCUCAGCUAAGGCUCCUGCUCUCCCAUUUCAGUAUCCCAUAUGACAUGGAAGAGCUAAGGGAUGCUUCUGAGGAGAUAGAACUUUUUUCCUUGGUACUUUAUGGAUUCUUUCUUAAUACAAAUAUAGGUGUUCAUAAAAGAAAAUACUAGUAUUUGCCACAAAGUUGAAUAUUCAUACUGCCACAAUUGUUUCCAGAGUGAUAAAAUGUAAUAAGUGAAAUUUAGACUAGCAGUUGAACUUUCUCUCUGUAAGAGUUAUGAGCCCCUUGAAUAUCCAGCCCAGAGGGAUUGUAGGAUUAUUUUUCAGUGGAAUUUAAAGAAAAUGGUAGGUUAUAAUCCAUAGUAGAUAAUGUAAACAUAGCCAAGACUUGGCAGUUUUAUAUUGUGGAGUUGUUUAGUGUCUAAAGCCCUUUGAUUACCAGAAAGUGUUCCAAUAGCUCUCCUAUUGGCAAAAUGCUUUAUAUUCAGUAGAGUGUAUAUUGUGUAGUGAUUUUUAAAGUCACGCAGUCUAGUCUGCUAUCACAUGGCGUUGCACCUCCUUGAAAAAAAAUCAUCCUAUCAGAAGCCAUGUUAAAACUUGUUUCAAAGGGAAAAAUAGGAUUGUAUGUAGAGAACCUCGAAUUUACAAUAAUAAAGUUUUCAGCCAGAGUUUCAACAUAAAGAUAUUUUUCUAGCUCUGGGUGUAUAAUAUUUGUAAAUAUAUAUAUUUGUUAGGUAAAAAUAGUAAGUUGAUUAUCCAAAAAGGCAAAGAUCAAAUCUGUAUGUUUUUGAACAUUCUUCGUGUAAGAAGGAGCCACUGUUUCAUCACCAUUUGCUUUGCCCUUGCAGUUCUGCAUCCAUGUGUAUUUGUUCCAGCAUGAUUUUCCUAGGAUUAUUUUUAUUAGUAUGUAACACAGACUCUUUAAGCUCACUGAAACCAGUGGUAUGACAUGUCCUCUGGUUUCUUUGAAGGUGAUGAUGAUGUUUAGCUUUUGUCUUUCUUUUCAUAUCAGCAGCAGCACUGUCUUCAGCAGAGAGUGCUUCUAUGGGAAUAUCCUCACCCUCAUUAUCAGCGUCCUAUGAUAGACGAAAACCAGAAUCAGAACAAGGUGGUGUUUAAAAAGAGUCCAAAUAAAUAAAAGUAGUUUAUGGCACAGUAGACUAUCAUCGGUGAUAACAAAGGAACAUGAGGCUGCAGAGCCCUCCCACAGAGCAGCCCUGUCCCCAAAGGAUAGCUUGUCUUCUUUAUAUAGAGACAGUUUCUACUUUUGAUUUCCUUAUAACAGUAUUAUGCACAAUGCUAAUUGUGCUUCCAAGAUAAUCACACUACAACAAAUUUUUCGUGUAGGAAGAAUUUCUACAAACAGGAAGAGUGUUUAUUUUGGUUCUCUAAUGCCCUAGAGCAGGGUCAGCAAACUACAGCCUAUAGCCCACCACCUAGUUUUUCUGCAAUAAAGUUUUAUUGGAGUACAGCCAUGCCAUUUCAUUUAUGUACUGUCUGUGGCUGCUUUCCACUAUAACUGCAGAGUCGAGUAGUUGCAACAGAGCCCAUGUGGUCUGCAAAGUCUAAAAUAUUUACUAUCCACCCCUUUAGGAAAAAGUUUGCCACCCUAGCCUUAGACUAGCACUGUCUCAUCGAACUUCCUGCACUGAGGGGUAUGAUCUGUGUCUGUCCGAUGUGUUAACACUAGUCACAUGUGGCCUUUGAGCACUUGAGAUGUGGGUAGAGUAAAUGAACUAAAUUUUAAAUUUUAUUUAAUUUUAAUAAAUUUGCAUUUAAAUGUUAAAUAGCCACAUGUGGCUGGGGCAACAGUAUUGGACAGCACAGCCUGGGAGGUACCAGCAUUAACUGGAAGAAUCUUUAGCUCUGUGACUCACUGAACUUAUUUAUUCCAGAAACCUUUGUUGAGGCCCUACUGUGUGCCAGCAC